GUGUAAUUACCCAUGACGAAAUUAUUAAAGCUAUCAAAAAGGCGAAAAAUAACAAAUCGCCAGGUGAAGAUAAAAUAAUCAAUGAAUAUGUUGCAAAUUCUCUUGACAGUAUGAUUGAUGUAUAUGUUAAUUUGUUUAAUCUUAUUUUUGAUACGGGUAUUCUGCCGGAGGCCUGGCUUAUUGGAAACAUAAUACCAGUUUUCAAGAACAAAGGAUGUAAAUUAGACGCAAAAAAUUAUAGGCCUAUUACUUUAUUGUCAUGCCUUGGUAAGAUUUUUACAUCUAUUCUUAAUGAUAGAUUGGGGGAAUUUGUUGAUGAACUUAAUAUCUUGAACGAAAAUCAAGCAGGCUUCCGACAGGGCUACUCUACUAACGAUCAUAUUUUUUCAUUGUAUGCACUCUUUGAGUUGCUAUGUGUCAAACGAAAAAAAUUACAUUGUGCAUUCGUUGACUUUGAAAAAGCCUUCGACUUUGUUCAAAGAAACUCGCUUCUGUAUAAGCUUGUUUUAA
rnacentral:lncRNA from 1 species